ACAUUAGAUACCCCGGUAGUCCUAGCCGUAAACGAUACUCGCUAGGUGUCGGCCACGGUGCGACCGUUGUCGGUGCCGUAGGGAAGCCGUGAAGCGAGCCACCUGGGAAGUACGGCCGCAAGGCUGAAACUUAAAGGAAUUGGCGGGGGAGCACCACAACGGGUGGAGCUUGCGGUUUAAUUGGAUUCAACGCCGGAAAUCUUACCGGGACCGACAGCAACAUGAAGGCCAGGCUGAAGACUUUGCCGGAUUAGCUG
rnacentral:rRNA from 1 species